rnacentral:tRNA from 1 species
UCCAGGAUAACCUAGUGGACAUGGCACCUGCCCGGUAAGCAGAAGGUUGUGGGUUCGAUUCUCGCUCCUGGAC